ensembl:lncRNA
GGGUGCUGUCUAUGCCUGGGGCAAACGGGCUGUUUUGAAUAAAUAUUUUGGGGUAGAGCUGCUGCAAACAGUAUAAUGUUUUUCAUACUGACCCUUCUGGGGUUUAAAAUUCAUUUGGUAAUUAAAUUAAUUCACUACUGGUAUUACAGUUGAGUACAUUUACUUUCCAAAUGGCAAAAUAUUGAACUUUAUUCUAAUUUAAAUGGAUCCUCAGAUUGGGGCAUACUCCCACUGUUAUGUUAACUAUUUAAAGCUACAGAACUGGCCAAAGUAAGGGCUGGUGUCUUUGAUUUAGCUGCAUUGUGAGCUUUGGUAGGUCCUGCUAUAUUGAUUCUAGCCCCACAAAAGUGUAUAUGCUAAUAUAAAACACUUAAAAUAGGCAAACUCUUGUCCUGAUAACAUUAUUGGCAAACUUCAGAGUUGCCAAUAUUUAACAAUGUACCCAAAAAUAGACUCUUCCAAACAUACUUGAUUACCUGAAGAUACAGAUAAGUGAGUCAGAUCAUGAUGCUGAUAAUGCUAAGGGAUGGCUUUGAUCCCUGUAUGGACCAUUCACUGGAAAGCUGGACUCGAUGAUCCUUGUGGCUCCCUUCCAACUCAGAGAAUUCUUUGAUUCUGUGAAGUCCAGCAGCACAAAGCCAGAUAGACAAGCACAAAACAGGAAAACACAGCUUUCCACCUAAGUGGCUACACUUUGGCCUGAGGAAGAGGAACUGUGGAGGUUCACAGGAAGGUAGAUGAAGUUUUUGAGGGAUUCCUUGUUAUUGGGUACAAUGCCAUUGUUUUUCUUACUUUUAACCAGUUCUAGUGGUAGAUUCAACUCAUUAUUCCUCUUACUUUUCUUCCCCCUCUCAUGAAACAAGUCUACAUGAAACUGUGGAUAGGCAGUAUUUUGAAAUGAAGCAAUAUUUUCUACUACAUUGAGUUUGCAGCCCAGUCCAGCACGGCAAGGCUAAUACUGAAAAUACGGCAAAGUGCAGCCAGGAUGCGAGAGUGAACAGGGUGCAGCGGGUAAAUGGCAGCAUAUUGUUGAAACAGUUUUGAUGUCAAAGAAGGAAAACAUGGGGCUGUAUCCUGCCUUGUCUUGGCUGGUUCCAAAUUACUGAAAGGCUGUUCCAAGCCUGAGCACCACCAUGGCUCAACACUCACCCAUGUAUUGCCUCUGGGACAGUUCACUUUAGCCCUGCAUCUUGAUUUCUUGUACAGGAGUUCUACAUCAUGAUUUCAUCUUCCUGUAUGGGUGGUAGGUGGAGUGAAAGAUCCACAGUGUUAUACUUCUAAACAUUUUGACUAUCCUAAGGCUUCUUAGGGUUGGGGGUUUUUCCAUUUCUUCAUAGUUAUUUCUACAAAGCAAGACAGUGCAUUUUAUUUUAAAUGCAAGGAUUUUAAAUUUCAAGGAUUAAAAAAUUAAAAACAGAUAAAAAAUAAAAAAUGUGGGGAAGAAGAACUGAGAAUUUUGAAAUAACUUUAAGAUAUUCAAAGUGACAGAAAGAGACUGAGAUUCUUUUUGCUUUCAUACUAACAGACUAGAUGUUAUCCUUUGAGUGACAUCAGUAAAUAUUUAGUGCAGGAGAUUCCCAAGGGAAUUGAUAAGUCUGCCAGACCUUAGGCACAGACCCUGUACUCCACUACUUUUCUGUAAAGCACCAUUCUUUUGCAUUAGCCACCUCUGUCAAAGUUGAAAGAUCGCAGUUCACAAAGAGUUCUGUCACAAAGGAUAAAUCCCCAGUCUGGGGACAGUAAAUCAUCUUUUUAAAGACAUGUGUGACAGCAGCAAAGCUUUCAGUUUUAGACCUUAAACAAAGAGAAGUCAUCUUGCAGUCUCAAUUGCUAGCAUAAAUUUAAUUUUAAAUCAAGUUUAAUUGUGCUGGGCACCACUACAAGUAGAAAACAUUUUUUUGUUUUUCUGUCUUUUGCUAUACAAAUGUGGUUUGCAUUUUAAAAAAUGUAUUAAGUGGUAGAAAUCAGAGAUAGAUAGGAAGAAGCCUAAUAAGUAAUUUUAUCCAUUUCCUUCGCCCCCGUAGAGAUGAAUGCUUUGUCUAGUCUGGUUUUAAAUAUCUAAAAUGAUGAGGCCUCCACCUCUUCCCACAAGGGACUUCUCAGCCAUUUAAUAGGCUUCUUUGUUAGGAAAUACUUGCCUCACACUGAUCCUAUCUUUUUUCUUCUGCAUAAUGUAGUCCCUUUCUUCUGUGCCCACUAUUUUAACUUUUAUGAAAUCUGGGAAAUGCAUCAUAUUUAUCCAUUUCAUACUGUAGCUGAAUAAUUCAUAAUCCUUGUUAUUCAAAUAACAAAAGAGAUAAGCAGCCAAUAGCUGAGCAGCUAAUACUUCACUGAGAUGCUGUACCAUGUACCAAUGGGUAUAUUUUGUGGCAAGUCCUGGCUGACACUGCUUUCUGCAUUACAAAGUGAAAAAUGUCAAAAAUGUCAAGUGAAACUGAAGAAAUGCAUCUUCCCAAGUGCAUGCAUGGCAAUAUUACUGAAAUUUCAAGAGGUGCUGAGGCAAACAGCCUACUUCUUUGGAUAGAGCUUUUCUUUCUAUAAGUGGGUGAUUUUAUUAAAAGUAUGCUUUCAAAAAGCAUUUGAAUUUUCUAUUCAUAAGCAAACCUCUAGAUGAGAACCACACUAUGUCAAAACUCUUUAACUUGUUGAGAGACAAGGCUGGAUUGAUUGCCACUCACUGCUAAGCAGUUUUUGCUGACAGCUUAGCUCAGAAGAAAAAUUUAAUCCAGCGUUAUAGAGUUUGAAAAGAUGCCUUUGCAACUGUGACACUGGAAUCAGAUCUGUGCAUGAAAAAAUGACUCAUGUUUUGACAACAGUAACUGCAUUUCUGAUUUAAUUACAACAUAUUAGAUAAUCCUCUACCUCACUCAAAGGGCAAAAAGAAGCAGUGUGACUAAGGAAAUCCUAGGUGGACAGCCAGAUUUUAUGUGAUUUUGCAUUCUUUAAAAAGGCAGCGUUAUGCUUUAUGUUGACCCUAGGCCAGGUGGGAGGUCUGCUAGGUCUCUCUAACCUCAGAGCUGUAGUGGAUGCACAUAAAAAAAGGUGUAUCAACAGCCCACAUGGAUGUAGAGCUCCUCAUAUACCUGCUAAUAUAUGGCAAUCCACAGCUGGAGAUCUCUUGAGAUGGAGGUUGCGUCUGUGGGUUUGAUUCUUGCCUAUGGACUUCUCUGGAUUCUUUUAAAUGUUGUGUUUAACCCACUUAUAGUCUUGGCACCUAUAAAUUCUCACAGUAUAGGGUCUCACAAUUUAAUUCUGUGUUUGGUGGAAAAGGUCUGCUUGUCUUAAAAACCCCUGAGGUACUUGUUACAUCUGCCCUACUUAUUCCAAUAAGGAAAGCAGUUCUGAGGUAUGAUGGCAUAUUGUUUCCUCUACACUCCUCAGAACUUCAUCUAUCCUUGGAGAUGUUAACAUCAGGGUUUUAUCCCUUAUACUUCUCCUCUUCUGCCUUUUGUCCAAGCUGAACAUCCUAGUCUAUUUGAUCUCUCCUUGGGCAGCAGGCUUUCCAUGCUCACCACCAGCCACUGCACUUGCCUGAACCUUUUCUAUGGUUUGUUUUUUGGUGGUUUUUUUUUUUUUGUUGUUGUUUGUUUGUUUUUUUUUUUUUUUACUUUGAGGUGGGAUGAAGCAUUUAGAAAUAGAUUCUCAUUAGUGCCAUUUGUUGAUAAGCCAUGUGAUCACAUAAGACAUCUGUACUCCUACAGCCAUGGAAAUUACUUUGUCAUUUUUAUUGGUCCUGACAGCACAUCUGAGGUGUUACACUUGAUUAUUGCUAGUUUAUGUGUUAUACGGAUGUGCAUUGAUAAACUCACUAACAUGCGAGUUUAUCCAGUGCAUUCUAACAUCCCUGUUUAAAUUGUUUGGUUCACAUGGAUGCAGGAGACAGUAGAUUUCAGAGAAUAUUUAAUUUAAUCUUGGCAUAGACUGUAUGGAUUUUAGCUCUAUUGAGCAUGUGGCCUGACAUUGCUGGACUGAGCAGCCACUCACCAUCUCUCUCUGCCAUAGUGAUGGCAUCUACCUCAUCCACUUGCUGCAGCCAUCCCAAACUACAGCCUAGAGCCAUUUUUAUUGCAAGAAUAUAUUUUUCUUUUAAACACCUUUUACUGAAUCUUUUUAUUUCCUUAAGACCCUGUGGCUUUUUUCAUGCCCUUCUUUCUUCAUUCCAAGAAGAGGAGGUGCUCUCAGAUAAAAUUAUUAAUAAUGAUGCUGGGUAGACAGUAAGCCCAUUACACUGGGUUCUUCAUAUUGCCUAGCAGGGCAAAGGUUUGGGGCCUCUUCCUUCAGAUGUCCUACCAGAUAUAAGCAGGGACCUCAGCAUUUUGCUGUCCUGGGCCUCACAGAAGGCUCUUUGCAGUCCCUGGAGGUCUUCAUGCUGAUGCUCUUUACAUCAGUGUCCCAUCUUUUAGUUAGAAAAACUGAGUGACUCUAAGGAAACAUUAUUAUUGCAAUAAAACUAGAGAGAGAUUAUUUUCUUUCAGUGAAGAAUGAAAUCAUGAAGCUGAAACUUUCUGGGGCACUUCCAUGGUCAGCUGCAAAUAUCUAAUGACUUUUUUGUUUGUUUUAGUAACUAAACACAAUAAUAAAACCAGGUCAGUGAGGCUGCAUGAAUCAUGCAGAUAGUUAAUGUAGUUUCACAAGUAGGUGCUGAAAAUGUGUGGGGGAAAAGGGAUUAAAAAAAAAAAGAAAAUGGAGGAAAAGACUUGAUGACAUAAUAGGGCUUGGGUGGAAAGGGCAAACAGCUGUUGAUCUUCUACAAGAGAUUGCAGAAAUAAUGCACAAAGACAGGUAGAAUGUGAAGAAUGUGUGUGUACACUCCAGUGUAUUAUGGACAUAUUGUAGAGUAAAAUUCUCAAUCCAACAAACUUGAAAAAAGGAAGUUUUAAUCAUACAUUACUUUACUUUUUACUUUGUCACAAAAAAUCCAUAGGUUUUAAGUUCCAGAUCAAGUUGAGGCUUACCAAAUGUAACAUGAGUUUUACGAGAGGAGUUGGCUGCUGUAACUGCCUUCUAUAACUGUCUUUUUUAGAUUUAUGUCAUAGUGUGGGAACUUCUUUUUGUUUCUGUUUAUUUCAUGAGUAGAAUAAUAAAAUCUGCCACAGUCUUGCAGACAAGGAAACUAUGACAUGGAAGCAAACGACAAAAAUAUAACCAUUUCUAUCUGAAAUAAUGAAGUACUAAUGUAAUAGCAAUUGUUUCACUCAAUAAAACUAAUUUUUCAGUAAA